AGGGUUUGAUCAUGGCUCAGAACGAACGCUGGCGGCGUGCCUAACACAUGCAAGUCGAACGGUAACAGGGGCUUCGGUCUGCUGACGAGUGGCGCACGGGUGAGUAACGCGUGGAUAUCUGCCUAUUAGUGGGGGACAACUUCCGGAAACGAUAGCUAAUACCGCAUAACGUCUACGGACCAAAGAGGGCUUCGGCUCUCGCGCAGAGAGGAACCUAAGCGAGAUUAGCCAGUUGGUGAGGUAAAGGCUCACCAAGGCGACGAUCUCUAGCUGUUCUGAGAGGAAGAUCAGCCACACUGGAACUGAGACACGGUCCAGACUCCUACGGGAGGCAGCAGUGGGGAAUAUUGCACAAUGGGGGAAACCCUGAUGCAGCCAUGCCGCGUGUGUGAAGAAGGCCUUCGGGUUGUAAAGCACUUUCAGUUGUGAGGAAAGGUUAGUAGUUAAUACCUGCUAGCUGUGACGUUAACAACAGAAGAAGCACCGGCUAACUCCGUGCCAGCAGCCGCGGUAAUACGGAGGGUGCGAGCGUUAAUCGGAAUUACUGGGCGUAAAGCGCACGCAGGCGGUCUGUUAAGCUAGAUGUGAAAGCCCCGCGCUCAACGUGGGAGGGUCAUUUAGAACUGGCAGACUAGAGUCUUGGAGAGGGGAGUGGAAUUCCAGGUGUAGCGGUGAGAUGCGUAGAGAUCUGGAGGAACAUCAAUGGCGAAGGCAACUCCCUGGCCAAAGACUGACGCUCAUGUGCGAAAGUGUGGGUAGCGAACAGGAUUAGAUACCCUGGUAGUCCACACCGUAAACGCCGUCUACUAGCUGUUUGUGGAUUUAAUCCGUGAGUAGCGAGGCUAACGCGAUAAGUAGACCGCCUGGGGAGUACGGCCGCAAGGUUAAAACUCAAAUGAAUUGACGGGGGCCCGCACAAGC
rnacentral:rRNA from 1 species